CUGUACAGUUCAGAGUUUGAUCCUGGCUCAGAUUGAACGCUGGCGGCAUGCUUAACACAUGCAAGUUGAACGGCAGCAUGAACUAGUUUACUAGUUUGAUGGCGAGUGGCGGACGGGUGAGUAACGCGUAGGAAUAUGCCUUGUAGAGGGGGAUAACAUGGGGAAACUCAUGCUAAUACCGCAUGUGUUCUUAGGAACAAAGCUGGGGACCUUAGGGCCUGGCGCUAUAAGAAUAGCCUGCGUCCGAUUAGCUAGUUGGUAGGGUAAAGGCCUACCAAGGCGACGAUCGGUAGCUGGUCUGAGAGGAUGGCCAGCCACACUGGGACUGAGACACGGCCCAG
rnacentral:rRNA from 1 species